rnacentral:lncRNA from 1 species
CUGGGAGCUGUAGACCGGCGCUGUUCCUAUUCGGCCAUCUUGGCUCGAAAGAGAUGUACAGGUUUUAUGUGGAUAUAAGUUUUUAUUUCCCUGGGAUAAAUGCCCAAAAUGAGAUUGUAGUGUUAUGUGGGUGGACUAUCCUUUUGCUGAGCAGGACUGAAAUAUAAAACAGAAAACCUGAGAGGGAAGAAGUAACGCUAUAUAGAAGACAAUUCAUAAUGUAAAAAGGUCUGCAUGGAAGAGGAUUGAAGAGCCAGAUGACAGAUGAGAGCCAAAAGGUUUGGAGCAGGGACCGAGAUGGAGUUUGGGGUGUAAGAUGGCUGUCACAUCUGCAAAAG